rnacentral:pre_miRNA from 1 species
AGAAGGAACAGCCCCAGUGGCGGGGCAGCUCUGGAAACCUGGAUUCAGCUCCGGCAGGAACUCCGUCUGCAGGGCCUGGAGGCUCCGGGGCGGG